rnacentral:lncRNA from 1 species
AAAACAACAAAAGGUAGGGUUAUGAAAGAUCGAGGCUGCAAUGUGGACCGGAGGAAUAAUCUACCACAGUAGAAAAGAAUAAAUACUUUCUCAGCCUUGGAUGAGGUGGUGGGUCUAAUCGCAACUGUCAUUUUGAAUAAUUGCCGGCAAGCGAGGUAUUUUGAGACACAGGCAAUCAGCGUGACAUGAAGAAACAAUUAUCAGAGCAUUCCUUUGUAACCAAGUCACAGGGAAACAAGAUGGAUGGGCACAUCUCCCUCCCAGAUCACUCUCAGGCAGAUAAAGCAGUUGCUGAGCCAAGCCCUCAGUUCCAGUGAACUCUCAGGAAAGAGAGGGACCGAGGGCUGCUGCGAGCAUUAAGUGAGGAGUUUGGAAAGCCUGGAACAUAUGAACGCUUAAACACCCCUUCAGUACGCCAGCAUUAGGAGGUGAGGGCAGGCCUGGCUGCUGUGCUGUGUGCUGUCCACACGUCCAUUUGCCUCAUCCUAAAGGGAUAAUACAGAUAAAGUGAUGAAAUGUGGGCAACCUCAGACCUACCACACAGCAAGCACACACUUAACUGUGGCGACUGCUGCCACGUGUGUCUAAUGGAUCUCGGAUUGCCAAGGUCUACCAUGAAAGACCCAGGAUUGAGGCCUCACACCCCUGACAUUCUGAUUCUUGUUUACACUAGAAAAUGCAUGUGUGUAAAAUAGAAUAAAGCGGCUCUGACACACCCUUCCAAGCAACCCCGCCUGAGACUCAUUCACUCACUCACUCACUCAUUCACUCACUCACUCAUCCCAGACUUGUUUAUGAAGCACCUAUGACAAAUACUGUUUGUGUUAGCAACCAGGCAUGUGUUAGCAACCAGGCAUCUCCACCAUCUGCCCCCAGGGAUCCAGGGACAGCAGACGUCAUCACUAGCUGCCAAGAUGUGACACAUUCCCACUGUCACUAUGAGAUGCAUAACCCCUGUGCUUGUGCUACAUCCCCUUAUAAAAGGCCAGUCCCUCCUCUCCCUGAUCCUUCUACCCUCCGCCCUUGCCCAGAGGCAGCCUCUGUAGACUCCCUCCCCAUUAAACCUCCCAUGUGAGAUCUGUCAUAUGGUGUGACUUUAUGGUAUCCUUUGCUUAAAUUGUAAUAGUUUGCCUUUAAGAGUUCAUAGACUUUCCAGUAAACCUGUAAGUAGAGCAUGACUGUACCACAUAUUGUAAUAAAUUCAAGACAGUCUAGUGAAUGAUCAGAGUCCAAAACAUCU